GGCGUCCCGAGAGAGAGGAUCUUAAGCAGGCUCCGUUCCCAGCACCGAGCCCCACAUUUCAUCUGACAACCUGGAGACCUCGACCUGAGCCGAAAUCAAGCCACCCCAGCACCCCACCAUGGCACAUACACUUACAGGAUAAGAUCUAUAGCGACCCAUUGUGUGAUGCAGAUUCUGACCACCAACCCUCAUGGAUAGUCUCCAAUUCUUCUAAAAACCAAAACAGAACACCAAAAUAGGAAUUAGAGCCUAGUUCCAGGAGAGAAGAACUCCUAUCACGGUGGCAGCCAGCUGGGUGGUAUUUGAGGGACCAUCAGCAGGUCCAUGCCUGUCCAUGUUUGCCCCG